CUCUACACUAAUUUAAGUCUCAGAUAACACUGCCACAGCUCUUGGUUCUUUUCAACCAAAGUAGCGAUUGAUUGAUUGUGUCAGGCAGCCAGCGACUGAUUCAGGCUUAUAAAUCUUUUUGACCAGCUCAUUGAAAAGAAUUGGUUCAUUUAUCUAGGGCCUUGUGAUUUCCGUGAUGCAGAAAACGCGGACAGAAUCACGAAAUCCGGUCAUAAAAGCGGAAUUUACAGUAUAACAUGAAAUGUCACAGAAUUUCAGUACACUUAAAUCAAAUCGUGACAUAGACUAGUAUUUGUGAAUAUUAAAAUAUGAAUCCUGCAUGUUCUGUCUCUGUGUGAAUGAAUGUUGCAGACGCACACAUGACGUUCGUGGUGUUUUCAGCCUCUGCCGCCUCACACACAUGAACUUCAUCUCCAGAGCCGCUCUCAAAAUCACUUCAUGAGCAUUUUACAGUUUCAUUUGAGAAAAACUAUUGUCAUAUCAUAAACACGGCAGCCCGUCAAAAUAAAAGUUUGGUUUAACUUGAAGAAAUAGUGACAGAAAUAUAUUACUGUUGUACAGUAGAAUUUAGCUACGCCUCAAUGUACUAAUACUACUACUAAUAAUAAUAUUAUAUUAUUAUUAAACCUUUAUUCUUUAAGUAAUAAUCACAGUUUGUCUUCCAUGUUUUAAUUAUAACAGUAAAGCUCUGUUGUGCAGCACUUUAUUUGACAAAAAAAGUGUUUUUUCAUAUGAUUAAAAGAUAAAUUAAAUGAAUGUUUUAUGCCUUUAUUUGAGUGCCAGAAAAAUGAAAAUACACAACACAGAAUUUCUGAAAAAACAAAACAUUUAAUGGAAAUUUUGUUAUGUUUAUGAACUCAAUUAAUUAGACAUGCUUUUUGGUUUAUUAAAAUUUAAUUAAACCCUUAAAAUGGAAUCCAGACAACUAUAAACAGAAAACACAGAAUUUGGUAAAGAAUAAAACAGAAUUUGAGGGGGGAAAUAUUUCAUAGGGCCCUAAAAAUAUGUAAUUUUUGUUAAAGUUUAAAUAAAUUGUUGUUAAAUUGUAUAAGUUUCAUGAUUUCAAUUAAUUAGACAUGCUUUUUGAAUACUAAAAUUUAAUUUCACUAUGAAAGUGGAGAAAAAUAAAUAAAUGAACAGAAUCCAGAAAAAUUAAAACUGAAAAAACGGAAUUUGGAAAAAAAUAAAAUGGAAUUUGGGAAAAAAACAAAAUGGAUUUCAUAGGGACCUAUUUAUCCGUGAAUCUACGCAAAUACCACACAAUAUUCAAAGGCCCAAUGACUUUUCCAGUUGUUUGUGGUUUACUGGAAAUUUUUACUCACAAUUUCUACCCAAUUAGUUUCUUUUGAACUUGACAUAACUAGUAAAAUGCAUAUUCAUUGUAAAAUUGCUCAUUGCGUUUUAAAAUUUUAUGAAUUUACAUGACUUUUCCAGGUCUUAAAUUCACAUUUGCAAAGUUAGGCUUUCACAUAUAUCAUGUUUUUCAAGACCGUCGGAACCCUGGUUCUUCAAAGAGAAAGCAAACAGCUGUUAAUGGGGUGAAUUAAAAUAAAAUUGUAGUUGUUUUACCUUAUUUUAAUGCUUGUUUUAUCUUAUCUUAAAUCUCUUGUGGUUGAGAACCACUGCAUAAAGGGAAAUUAAUGUUAUUAAAAUCAUCUGGGUCCAAAAAUAAAACUAGUUCUUAAUAAGAUCCAGUUGUCAGUUCCCAAGCGGACUAGUAAGUGUCUGAUAAAUGACUACUUGUCUUUAGGAUAGCAAAACAAGAGAUUCCGCUGAGGAUCAAUAGAGGGCAGCAUGUGUCCAGAAAUAAAUGUGGGCAUCUCCCUAGGGAUAUUAUUUUUUUUCCACAUCGUCUGUGCAAGAUAGCUAUUCCUCUCUAUCAGAAGUAUCUACUUGCUUUCCUCCAAGGGUGAAGCGCUGUGAGCCAAACCAUAAAAUAAAUUCCCUGUAGACUUGAGGCACAAGGACCAUACAUCUUUGAAUAUGAAUUUUAGACAAAUUAAAAGUCCCAUACAUCUACAGGCCCCUGGAAUGAGCACCCCCACAGAACAGUCCGGAAACGGGAAGGAUUUAUAGAGGCUCCCAAAAGGAGGAGAAAACUCUCGCUCUCUACAUCUCCAAACGGAAACCACCUGGUGACAAAUUUAUCGCAGCUUGCUUUAUGACCAUCUUUACGUCUGAGUUAUGUCUGUUGUUAGCGUUGACGCAGACGGAGCUAAAUGACUGAUUCCUCACAGGAGGUUAACGCUCCGGUUAUAAACAACAGAAUCUGUAAAUGGUUUCUCUGGGUAUUUGAGCUGAAUGUAGUGAAGCGAGUACAUGUGAACAGGCUUAGACCUUCACUCGUAAUUCAUGUUAAUGAGAAACUGAGAAGGAACAAUUAAAACUAGAUUUUUUUUUUUUUUUGUGACCCAGCUAAAAAUCUGCAGACUUUGUUUUUUUUCAGGGUGGUUGCUAAGGUAUUCUGUGCAGUUUCUAAUGUGUUGCUAGCUGGUUGCUGCGAGAGUGUUUUAGAGUAUUUUUAGUUGCACAACAAUACAUGACAGUGUCAUCUGCAUAAAAGUGAAAAUUUGCAUCCUGAAUAUCACAAUCAAGACUGUUUAUGUAAAUAAAAGGGGACCCAACACAGACCCUUGGGGAACACCUUUAACAAUCUCUAAUAGUCCCGAUUAUUUACCUUCAGCCUGUACACACUGAGUUCUUCCACUGAAAUAGUUUUUAAAGCAGAAAAUAACAUGAUUUUGAAUUUGAAUUUACUUAAUUUGUGCAUUUGUUUUUACAUUGGGGUCAGGAAUUUUGUUUUUGAAUGUCUCUUAUGCUCACCAAGGCUGCAUUUAUUGGAUCAAAAAAUCAGUAAAUAGAAAAUUGUAAUAUUGUGUAAAAUUAUUGCAAUUUAAAAUAACUUUUUUCUAUUUUAACACAUUUAAUAAUGUAAUUUAUUCCUGUGAUCAAAGCUGAAUUUUCAGCAUCAUUACUCCAGUCUUCAGUGUCACAUGAUCCUUCAGAAAUCAUUCUAAUAUGAUGAUUUGCUGCUUAAGAAACAUUUCUGAUUAUUAUCAAUGUUGAAAACAGUUGUGCUGCUUCAUAUUUUGUGGACAUUUUUCUUCAGGAUUUAUGAGGAAUAGAAAAUUUAAAAGAGCAGCAUUUAUUUGCAAUAGAUUUUUUUUGUAACAUUAUAAAUGUCUUUACUGUCACUUUUCAUCAGUUUAAAGCAUCCUUACUGAAUAAAAGUGUUCAUUUGUUUUGAGAAAAAUAAAAAAUAAAAUCUUUCUGACCUAA